UACGGGGGGAGCAAGCGUUGUUCGGAUUUACUGGCGUAAAGGGCGCGUAGGCGGUCGUGACAAGUCACUUGUGAAAUCUCCGGGCUUAACUCGGAACGGUCAAGUGAUACUGUCGGACUAGAGUACAGAAGGGGCAACUGGAAUUCUCGGUGUAGCGGUGAAAUGCGUAGAUAUCGAGAGGAACACCUGCGGCGAAGGCGGGUUGCUGGGCUGAUACUGACGCUGAGGCGCGAAAGCCAGGGGAGCGAACGGG
rnacentral:rRNA from 1 species